AUGUGUAUGAAAGUGUGGUUUUGUAGUUAUACGCCAAACUGUGUCACUGCAAUCUUACUGUAUAUAAGAACCUCCAAAACACAACAUUUUCAUCAUCACUUUCUGUCAUAACCAGAGCUUCAACUAUUGAAUCACAGAGACUAUCAUCUAAUGGAGAGGAAAACAUUAGGGUUUUUGUUCUUGCUCUUCCUUGUCUUCGCUACUGAUGUUGGCGUGAAGAGAACAGAGGCGAGAGAAUGUUCAACGCCGAGCAAGAACUUCAAGGGUUUAUGCUUCAGCGAUAGGAACUGUGAAGCUGUGUGCAACACCGAACGUUUCCCCGGCGGCAAGUGUGUCCGUCAAAAAUGCAUGUGUACCAUACAUUGUUGAAAUUUAUUCACUUUUCUGUGAAUAAAUCAACUUAUCAAUCAUCUUAUAUUAAAAACAAAUAAAUCCAUUUAUCAAUCAUCUUAUA